UGGCCGUUAAGACAAAUAUCAGAGAAGCCGAUCAAAUUAAAAAUUAACAAGAUGGAGGAAUGUGUAUUUUGAAAGGGACAGGUGCUCUAAGAACAACCGGAAGUCAGUUGGUGUAGUUUGACCGCUGAUUUGGCCGCUCAAUCAACACGGCCCCGGCAGCUACUGGUCGGCUUCUGCACUGGAUGGAGACAAUUAUGCAAAUGGGGAAAAAGUGUCUCCAGGAAGAUCCUCCAGGAAAUUGCUUUUGAACGACAGCUUUUCUGAAUGCCUUGUUCUUCGUAGGUCCAGAUUUUGACCCCCCACCCCAAACCGGAACAUUAUGUGCAUGUAAACAUAGUCACUGAUUCUUCUGUAAUAACCAUCUCAUAUUGUCAUACAUGAUAUUCUCUGUCCAAAUAAAUAACAAGCUCAUGAAGAAGUUAAACUUUUAUUUAGUUCACAGAAAAACCUAAACAGAAAAUAUUAAUCUCACAUUCAUCUUAUUA